rnacentral:rRNA from 1 species
UUAUUUUAAAUAACAACACAUAAUACCAUAUAAAACCUUAUAGUACUGCAAAGAAAAUAAAAAUAAAUUAAAGUAGGCUCAAUCCCGUACCUUGUGCAUUAUGGAUCUACAAGAUUUAAAAUAAUUUUAACUACCCGAAUUCUUAUGAGCUGUACAUUUAUUGUUUAGAACCCAAAAAUUAAUGUUUCAUUAUUAUUUUUAAAUAAAUUUAUAGAGGCUACAUACCUAACGUAUAAGAAUAUACCUGGUCUCUCUCUAACAUUAUUUAUUAAACCUUAUAAUAUAUAAGUUUAAACUAUAGAAGAUAAUUUCUAUAAUAAACCCAUUUAAAUUAAAAAUUAUUAAUAAUAGACUUAAUAUCAGUCACUUCAAUAUAACUUCACCGUUACAUAUAAAUUAUAAAUAAAUAAAUAAGGUACAUAUAGAUAGAUUUUAAUUCAAACUAUUUAGAUUAAAAAAUUAUGUAAAUAUUAGUAUUAAUUAAUUAUUUAUAAAGGAACUCGGCAACAUUUAUUUCGACUGUUUAACAAAAACAUUUCUUUUAGAAAAAUAAUUAAAAGUAGUCCCUGCCCAAUGAAUUUUAAUGGCCGCGGUACCCUAACCGUGCAAAGGUAGCAUAAUAAAUUGCCUAUUAAUUGUAGGCUAGAAUGAACGGGUUAACGAAAUAAAAUCUGUCUCCAUAAAUAAAAUAAAAAUUAUCCUUUAAGUGAAGAGACUUAAAUAAUAUAGUGGGACAAGAAGACCCUACAGAGCUUUAUUAUAAAAUUAAAUAAAUUAUUUUUAUAAUUUGGUUGGGGCGACCAAGGAUCCAUAAAACAUCCUUUAUUAAUGAGAAUAAAACUUCAAAAUAAGAUCCUAAUAAGAUAAAAUGUAUAGUUACCUUAGGGAUAACAGGCUAAUUUAUUUAAAGAGCUCUUAUCUACAAAUAAGUUUGGCACCUCGAUGUUGGCUUAGGAAAACAUUUUAACGCAAAAGUUAAAUAUGUUAGUUUGUUCAACUAUUAAAUUCCUACAUGAGCUGAGUUCAGACCGACGAGAGUCAGGUUAGAUUCUAUCUACUAUCAAUAAAAUUAUUUAUAGUACGAAAGGACCUAAAUAAACUUAAUCUAAGAAUUACAAUAUAAAAUU